UUGCUAUUGACUUAGCUGGCUCGUAAGACAUUAGCAUUUCAAUUUUCGUAAUCGGAUUGACUCGGCGUAAUAGACUAUUCGCUGAGGACACCUCCAUGAGGUGGCCGAGACAAGAAGUAACGAAGAGCUUCCAAACCCUCUAGUCAUUAAAACUUUUAAGAUUAGACCUCAAAUCAGGCAGGAUUACCCGCUGAACUUAA
rnacentral:misc_RNA from 1 species